UACAGAGGGGGCAAGCGUUGUUCGGAAUUACUGGGCGUAAAGGGCGCGUAGGCGGCCUGUUAAGUCGAACGUGAAAUCCCCGGGCUCAACCCGGGAACUGCGUCCGAUACUGGCAGGCUUGAAUGCGGGAGAGGGAUGUGGAAUUCCAGGUGUAGCGGUGAAAUGCGUAGAUAUCUGGAGGAACACCGGUGGCGAAGGCGGCAUCCUGGACCGGCAUUGACGCUGAGGCGCGAAAGCCAGGGGAGCAAACGGG
rnacentral:rRNA from 1 species